GGGGCAUAUAGAACUUCCCAGGCUAGGGGUCAAAAUGGAGCUAUGGCUGCUGGCCUAUGCCACAGCCACAGCAAUGUGGGAUCUGAGCCAUGUCUGCAACCUACACCACAGCUUAACCCACUGAGUGAGGCCAGGGAUUGAACCUGCAUCCUCAUGGAUACUAGUCAGUUUCAUUUCUGCUGUGCCACAAUGGGAACUCCCAACAGACCCCUUUUCCAAAUGACAACCCACACAAGUCAGAGGUUAGCAAAUUGCAAGCCCAAGGUUCAAGACAGGUGUUUCUAGGUCCAGAGCCCUGCCCAGCAUUAAAAACAAAGGACAGUAUGACCCCAGGGAAUGUGUCAAACCCUCUGGCACUUGGGCCACCCAAGGAGACUAGAAAGGCCCAUCACACUUGAAGGCAUAGGUGUGUCCUGUGCCUGAGGUGAGGCAGUUGGUGGGAGGUUGGGGGAGUUAGAGUCGCUUGUAAACAACAUCACAACUCUAGGCAGAUCCAGUUAGUUCCAUCUUCAACCCAGUAUCUGAGUCUGGAGGUAUGGCCGGGGAGGGGCAGGUGGGAUCUGUACCUUCUUUCACAAUAAGGUGAACAAGCAAAUACCUUUAAGGGGUGGGUAUUUCUCUCUCCAGAUUAAAAAAAAAAAUGACUCACACUCUUCUCUAUCUACUACACCAGACAUAGUAAAAGAAGCAAACCCAAGCCAAACAGGUGACAAGAAUUAAAUGAAACAGCACCCUGCUCUUCAUUUCUGUGUCUUGGCUUGAGGCUCCCUGAGCUGUCUGAAAGUGACCCAGAGAUGACAAGGUCCUUCCUAUCAGGGGCCAGAGGUCUCUCUCAGACUCUCCUGUGACUCUCCCUCCUCCUCCCUGCCCAUCACCACUACCCCAUGUCGUCCGGCUGAUCCCACUUCAGUUCAGCUCACCACCUGUAAAUACAUCUGGCUGCCUGAAUACAUGCAACCUAUUUCUCGCCAUCGUUCAUUUUCGUGGGUUACUUGUAGCAAGCCAUGGCUCAGUUAGGAAAAAGAUAGGAAACAUAGGGAGGAAUUUGAGACUUAGACCCAGGAAAGAGCACAUCCUGCACAGCCAAAAAUGCCGCUUCUACACCUCUCCAUUCAUGUCCUCAAGCACUGCUUUCCAGGUGCCACCCCCAACCAAAGCCCCCUUCUCUAAACCAGAUAUGCCCAAUGCUCAAGACAAGUACCUGUGGAUUCAGGGUUAUACUGCUGGAGAAACCAAAGGCUAUUGGUCAAACCACACCUGCUCCCCCGAUAGACUGUCAAAUCAUCGGCACUUAGGGCUCCGUGACCCCUAUGGAAAUGACCACCUGGUCAUGAUGGAAGAACUACCCAUCCACCCCCAGAGGAUGUGUUUGGGACCUGAGAGUCAGAAGCAGCUGUAACUCAACUUUCCUCACUGGGAGGUCCCUGGGGUGCCACCAGCACCACCUACAACCCCAUCUCUAACCCUGGAAGGGCCAACACUAAGCAGCAUCUUGGUAUGUCGGAGCUCCUCGACCUCUAGUGGCUAUUCCCACUCCCAGCUAUUCUCAUCCCAAACUUCUGCCUCCUGACCAGACCCAGUUCCGUUGGCACUGCUCUUGAGCACCUGAGAGCCUGGCUUGGUCCUCCUGUUGCUUCACUCUCUCAGAAUCAUCUACGGCCAUCCAUAGAGGGUGGUAUUUCAUUAAGUCUUCCAUGUGCCUCCCUGCUCCCAAUCUGUCAGCACUCUCUUGAGCACCUGUGAGCCAGAUCUGGUCUUUCUCUGUCUCUCAGAAAAAUAAAAGAGCAUGUGGAAGGUAGUAUUUCUCCCUC
rnacentral:lncRNA from 1 species